AGUGAACGCUGGCGGUAGGCCUAACACAUGCAAGUCGAACGGCAGCACAGUAAGAGCUUGCUCUUACGGGUGGCGAGUGGCGGACGGGUGAGGAAUACAUCGGAAUCUACUUUUUCGUGGGGGAUAACGUAGGGAAACUUACGCUCAUACCGCAUACGACCUACGGGUGAAAGCAGGGGAUCUUCUGACCUUGCGCGAUUGAAUGAGCCGAUGUCGGAUUAGCUAGUUGGCGGGGUAAAGGCCCACCAAGGCGACGAUCCGUAGCUGGUCUGAGAGGAUGAUCAGCCACACUGGAACUGAGACACGGUCCAGACUCCUAAGGGAGGCAGCAGUGGGGAAUAUUGGACAAUGGGCGCAAGCCUGAUCCAGCCAUACCGCGUGGGUGAAGAAGGCCUUCGGGUUGUAAAGCCCUUUUGUUGGGAAAGAAAAGCAGCAGGUUAAUACCCCGCUGUUCUGACGGUACCCAAAGAAUAAGCACCGGCUAACUUCGUG
rnacentral:rRNA from 1 species